UCCGGGAGGCAGCAGUGGGGAAUAUUGGACAANGGNNNAAANCCUGAUCCAGNCAUNCCGCGUGUGUGAANAAGGUCUUCGGAUUGUAAAGCANUUUAAGUUGGGAGGAAGGGCAGUAAAUUAAUACUUUGCUGUUUUGACGUUACCGACAGAAUAAGCACCGGCUAACUNNGUGCCAGCAGCCGCGGUAAUACAGAGGGUGCAAGCGUUAAUCGGAAUUACUGGGCGUAAAGCGCGCGUAGGUGGUUAGUUAAGUUGGAUGUGAAAUCCCCGGGCUCAACCUGGGAACUGCAUUCAAAACUGGCAAGCUAGAGUACGGGAGAGGGUGGUGGAAUUUCCUGUGUAGCGGUGAAAUGCGUAGAUAUNGGAAGGAACACCAGUGGCGAAGGCGACCUCCUGGACUGAUACUGACACUGAGGUGNGAAAGCGUGGGGAGCAAACAGGAUUAGAUACCCUGGUAGUCCACGCCGUAAACGAUNNNAACUAGCCGUUGGGAUCCUUGAGCUUUUAGUGGCGCAGCUAACGCAUUAAGU
rnacentral:rRNA from 1 species